UGCGCGCGCCUAACUCGUCGGUUAUGGACCGCGACCGCAUUACUCUACCAGAACAACGGUUAUAACCAAUCCCAACACAUCAACAAGGCGAAGCCAAUGUACAGAAGGAGUUGAAGAAGAAUUGGAUGAAAAGAAUGAGAAGAAUAGGACACAAUUCAAACGCCCAUGGCUAGACCGGUUCGGACUGUCCGAUUGUCUUAGCC
rnacentral:lncRNA from 1 species